GCUUGUCUCCUGAGUGCUCAUUAAACAUACAGGGACCUCCAAGAAGAUUGCUUCCAAGAGUAUAGGGACAUUGCAAAGACAGAUCCGAUCCCCAACAGUCCACAUUCUGAAGAAGGGUGACACAGCCAUCCCCCAAUCUAAAGAGGACCCCUGGCUCAGGAAGUACUUCUGAGAUCUGUUUGAGAGUGUGUGAAGGUGACAGCAAUACAGCAGCAGGAAGAAUCUGUGCCUGCUGGUGCUAAUUCACCAAUAAACUUACCAUGACAUCGCAUAAGACCACAGAGAUACAAUACCAGGUCCUUAAAGAAAGAAACUGUUGGGGGAGAAUAAGGCAGAAAAGAUGGAGGCUACUGAAGCAAGCUUAACCAUCCUGGCUGCCACCCCCAGUAUCACCUGGUAUCCCAGAACUUCUUUGUUCUAAUCCUAAGAAAUGUCCUGACCAGCCAGGACCAAAGAGCGGGACCCAAAUAACAUCGCCACUUCUACUGGCUCUAGCUGAAUCCCAAAUACCACCGGGGAUGAAAUGGGAUCAGACUUUGACAGCAGCAGCAAUAACAGCAGCUCCAGCCCAUCUCAAUAAACUUCUUCUCUUUCCCCCAAAAGAACAGUUUCGGGCUUUAACAACAACAACAAUAACAUCAGCUUAUCUCAACUAACUUCUCUUUUUUUACCUGAAAGGACAAUUACCAUCUUUAAUACCAUCUGAAAGACUGUCAAACAAGGAGGUUUUCCUUUUAAAAGCUCUCUCCAGCUACGGGGGGGGAGGGGGGAGGAGAAGAAAUAUCAUUAAAAUG